UACAGAGGGGGCAAGCGUUGUUCGGAAUUACUGGGCGUAAAGGGCGCGUAGGCGGCCUGUUAAGUCGAACGUGAAAUCCCCGGGCUCAACCCGGGAACUGCGUCCGAUACUGGCAGGCUUGAAUCCGGGAGAGGUGAGUGGAACUCCGAGUGUAGAGGUGAAAUUCGUAGAUAUUCGGAAGAACACCAGUGGCGAAGGCGGCUCACUGGCCCGGUACUGACGCUGAGGUGCGAAAGCGUGGGGAGCAAACAGG
rnacentral:rRNA from 1 species